rnacentral:rRNA from 1 species
UACAGAGGGGGCAAGCGUUGUUCGGAAUUACUGGGCGUAAAGGGCGCGUAGGCGGCCUUCUAAGUCGAACGUGAAAUCCCCGGGCUCAACCCGGGAACUGCGUCCGAGACUGGAAGGCUUGAAUCCGGGAGAGGGAUGUGGAAUUCCAGGUGUAGCGGUGAAAUGCGUAGAUAUCAGGAGGAACACCGAUGGCGAAGGCAGGUCUCUGGGCAUUAACUGACGCUGAGGAGCGAAAGCAUGGGGAGCGAACAGG